rnacentral:tRNA from 2 species
GCCCGCGUGGUGGAAUUGGCAUACACAGCAGGUUGAGGGCCUGUGCCGGUGACGGCGUGGAGGUUCGAGUCCUCUCGCGGGCA